AGUGAACGCUGGCGGUAGGCCUAACACAUGCAAGUCGAACGGCAGCACAGGAGAGCUUGCUCUCUGGGUGGCGAGUGGCGGACGGGUGAGGAAUACAUCGGAAUCUACUUUUUCGUGGGGGAUAACGUAGGGAAACUUACGCUAAUACCGCAUACGACCUACGGGUGAAAGCAGGGGAUCUUCGGACCUUGCGCGAUUGAAUGAGCCGAUGUCGGAUUAGCUAGUUGGCGGGGUAAAGGCCCACCAAGGCGACGAUCCGUAGCUGGUCUGAGAGGAUGAGCAGCCACACGGGAACGGGGAGACGGUCCGGACUCCUACGGGAGGCGGCAGUGGGGAAUAUUGGACAAUGGGCGCAAGCCUGAUUCAGCCAUACCGCGUGGGUGAAGAAGGCCUUCGGGUUGUAAAGCCCUUUUGUUGGGAAAGAAAUCCAGCUGGCUAAUACCCGGUUGGGAUGACGGUACCCAAAGAAUAAGCACCGGCUAACUUCGUGCCAGCCGCCGCAGUAA
rnacentral:rRNA from 1 species